UUUUUUUUGAAAUAAAUUUAAAUUUUAACCUCCCCACUGAAAUUUUUAAAUGGCCGCAGUAUUCUAACUGUGCAAAGGUAGCAUAAUCAUUAGUCUUUUAAUUGAAGGCUGGAAUGAAUGGUUGGACGAGAUAUUAACUGUUUCAUUUAAAUUUUUUAUAGAAUUUUAUUUUUUAGUCAAAAAGCUAAAAUAAAUUUAAAAGACGAGAAGACCCUAUAAAUCUUUAUAUUUUAUUUAUUUUAAUUAUAAAGAUUAUUUUUGUUUUAAUAAAUUAAAAUAUUUUAUUGGGGUGAUAUUAAAAUUUAAAAAACUUUUAAUUUUUAAACCAUUAAUUUAUGAAUAAUUGAUCCAUUAGUAGUGAUUAAAAAUUUAAGUUACUUUAGGGAUAACAGCGUAAUUUUUUUGGAGAGUUCAUAUCGAUAAAAAAGAUUGCGACCUCGAUGUUGGAUUAAGAUAUAAUUUUGGGUGUAGCCGUUCAAAUUUUAAGUCUGUUCGACUUUUAAAUUCUU
rnacentral:rRNA from 1 species